CGAUGUCGACUAGCCGUUGGGAUCCUUGAGAUCUUAGUGGCGCAGCUAAUGCGAUAAGUCGACGCCUGGGGAGUACGGCCGCAAGGUUAAAACUCAAAUGAAUUGACGGGGGCCCGCACAAGCGGUGGAGCAUGUGGUUUAAUUCGAAGCAACGCGAAGAACCUUACCUGGCCUUGACAUGCUGAGAACUUUCCAGAGAUGGUUGGUGCCUUCGGGAACUCAGACACAGGUGCUGCAUGGCUGUCGUCAG
rnacentral:rRNA from 1 species